rnacentral:lncRNA from 1 species
CUACUGCUAGAUAGAGCCAUAGCUCUUCAUGUGGGGUAGGGGUGAGACAAUGCAUCAGAAUCACACUGGGAGCUUUUGAAAACUGCACACACCAGUUAUGAUCUUAACUCAUUUCUCCUUUCCUGUAGUAGAAUGAUAUAUUCAUGGGCUUUUCAUGUGACUUUGGAAUACCUCCCACUGGAACAGGAAUAUAUAUCCUGUUGAUGGCGGUCAUGGCUUUAACCAUGGAUGUUAGGAUACAUGAUAUAAGCAGAGGUUUUCAAUAUGCUUUGGUUAUUUGGCUUGGCCUCUUGCAUUUCUGCAUCUGCCAUAAGAAAAACAUGCCUUGGCUGAUUUCUGGUCCAUGGAAUGAGGAGACAUAUGGAGCACACCUGAACUC